AUGCUGGUAUUCAAGAAGAGGUCUUGGCCAGAAGCAAACAUCUUAAAUGGACAAACCACAAAGCAAUGGGUCCAAAAACUGAUUACAAGGCUCAACCAGUGGUGUUGUGGGGACAAAUACAUGCCGGGCCAUUUGUGCACUAAAACUGCACCUCAAGGGGCUGUUCAAGCAAUGCAAGGGGCAGAUCCUGACAUCCUAUCGGAUGAGUUACUAGAUGCUAUUGUGGAACAAGAAACUGCUCUGGCAGACAUGCAGAUUUCAGUCAAUGCACUGUCAGAAGCUGAUCAUCCCCAGACUGUUAGGUUGAGAGCCCUGAUUGGCAAUCAGGGGCAUACCUUCAGUUAUCCUCUGAAGGUAUUGGACCUGGGAGGGUAUGAUAUGAUACUUGGUAUGGACUGGUUGGAGCAAUGGGGAGAAAUGACUUGUCAGUGGAAGGAAAAAUGGGUCAGAUUUAACUAUCAGGAUCAACUCAUUACUCUGCAAGGAAUUACUAAAAGCGACAAACCCGGUUUACAAGAAUUGUUAGUGGAACAGGCCAUGAGAUGGCAUAGAGGGAAUGACAUUUGGGCCACUGCCUUGCUGGUCCCUGUUCAUAACACUAAAAGCAACACAAUCCAUCCUGAAGUUCAAGUUGUCAUUGAUGAGUUUGCUGAUGUGUUUAAUGAUCCAAAGUCUUUGCCUCCCACUAGACCCCUGGAUCACGCUAUCCAUCUCAUACCUGGAGCAGCACCAGUGAAUGUCAGGCCAUAUAGGUACUCUCCCUUGCAAAAGGAUGAAAUUGAGAAACAAGUGGCAGAAAUGUUAGAAGCUGGCUUGAUUACACCUAGUGUCAGUCCUUUUGCCUCUCCUGUGUUGCUAGUCAAGAAGAAGGAUGGCACUUGGAGGUUUUGUGUGGAUUACAGAAAGUUAAAUUCCAUUACUGUCAGAAGAAACAGGAAGUGUGUGGUCAUUUUCAUGGAUGACAUACUGGUGUUCAGUGAGUCCUGGAGGAACAUGUCAACCACUUGA
rnacentral:rRNA from 1 species